AUGGCUGCGGCGGCUGGUGGUGGUGUUGCGGGGGUGGCGGGGUCGCCGUGCGGGGCGUGUAAGUUCCUGCGGCGGCGGUGCGUGGCCGAGUGCGUCUUCGCGCCCUACUUCAGCUCCGAGCAGGGCGCGGCGCGCUUCGCGGCCAUCCACAAGGUCUUCGGCGCCAGCAACGCCGCCAAGCUGCUCGCGCACCUGCCCCUGGCCGACCGCUGCGAGGCCGUCGUCACCAUCACCUACGAGGCCCAGUCCCGCCUCCGCGACCCCGUCUACGGCUGCGUCGCACAGAUCUUCGCCCUCCAGCAGCAGGUGGCGAUCCUGCAGGCGCAGCUGAUGCAGGCCAGGGCGCAGAUCGCGUGCGGCGUCCAGAGCACCGCCUCGCCGGUCAGCCAUCAGUGGCCGGACAGCAGCAGCAGCAGCAUCGCCUCCCUGCUCCGGCAGCAGGAGGUCAAUAGCGGCAGCUUCGCCACCGGCGGACCGCUUCUGCCAGAGCUCAUGGGUGGGGACGUGUCCAUGCUGCAGCAGCAUUGCGGCGGCAAGGUGGAGGGCGGCGGAGGAGGCGGCGCCGGGGACCUCCAGUACCUGGCUCAGGCCAUGAUGAGAAGCUCCAACUACUCCCUGUAG
rnacentral:rRNA from 1 species